rnacentral:lncRNA from 1 species
GUUGUUCUGCUAUUUUUCAGUUUUGGUCUUCUGUGAUAUUGUGUUUUAGGCACUAAGGAAUGAACCUUGUUUUUUUCCCCUUGUACCUCAGGUCAUUUGGCAAGAAGCAGUCUGUAAUGUUUCCAUUGAACUUGUAUGCCUUAAUUAAUAAUUCUUUAGUACUAUAUUAGAGAAAUGCAUUGCAAUAGCAUUAUUCUUGGUAAAUACUGUAAAUACUUGAUAUGAAACCAUU